rnacentral:rRNA from 1 species
AUUGAACGCUGGCGGCAUGCUUUACACAUGCAAGUCGAACGGCAGCGCGGGCUUCGGCCUGGCGGCGCGUGGCGAACGGGUGAGUAAUACAUCGGAACGUGCCCAGUCGUGGGGGAUAGCUCGGCGAAAGCCGGCUUAAUACCGCAUACGACCUGAGGGUGAAAGCGGGGGAUCUUCGGACCUCGCGCUAUUGGAGCGGCCGAUGGCAGAUUAGCUAGUUGGUGGGGUAAAGGCCUACCAAGGCGACGAUCUGUAGCUGGUCUGAGAGGACGACCAGCCACACUGGAACUGAGACACGGCCCAGACUCCUACGGGAGGCAGCAGUGGGGAAUUUUGGACAAUGGGCGAAAGCCUGAUCCAGCAAUGCCGCGUGUGUGAUGAAGGCCUUCGGGUUGUAAAGCACUUUUGGCGGGAACGAAAAGGACUGUGCCAAUACCACGGUUCGAUGACGGUACCCGCAGAAUAAGCACCGGCUAACUACGUG